GGUACUGCCUAUUUGGUUUGGCUGCCUGACUGACGGGUGCGCACAUCACAAGUCUCCCGACCAGUUUUUCUCCCAAUCUUGAAUCUUGACUGGUAAGAAACCCUCAAAAUCCUGGAGAAUAAUUGGUGACACCAAGCCCCUCAGCUCAAACAAGAAAAUACAAGAUUCUCUUAAAGGGAAUUUUAGUCUGUUGAGUUGAGAUGUGUAACUAUCAAGCUUGGGAAGACGAUUCUCUGCAGGGUGAAGAUUAUGCACAGAGCAUGGCAGAUGGCGUAGAUGUUGGGGAGACAAGGUGGGGAGCGCGGCUGGCAAUGUUGGAAGCGCGGAUAGCUCGAGUGGAGGCUAGGGUGGAAAGACUGGAGGCAAAGAUGCUCUAUCUGCAAAAGGGAAUGCGUGUCGUUUGCGUGCUGUUUCUGUUUACUCUCAUCUAUGCAGUUGUCAAGUAAAUGUUGGGGGUGAUGAGUUGAUUUGUUUCAGCUGUGUAUGCUCUUCUUUUUCUGUAAAAUAUGUAGUUAGGCAUCUGAAUUCUGAUGAUUCUCUCAACUGCACAUUUACCUUUGUUUUUAUGAUGCUGUAUAAGUACUUUUUAGUUUGGACAUAUGUGAAAGGAUCCGGAUUCUCUUC